rnacentral:lncRNA from 1 species
ACAAGUGAGGAAGUUAACUCUUCUUUACAGGGUCCAGAAAGAAAUCCCAGACUCCCAGCACAUCCCCCUGCACAAGGUUGCUCCCUUGCCACAGCAAGAUCUGUAAAAUAAAACUGUCUGCACCUCUCCCAUUCCAUUGCAAGUUAAUAUUUGGCUGCAAAUGCACUCCUUCCCCUUCCAGUGGAAAUUUAAGCUAACAGAUCUGGGAACGUCUGGAAAUCACUGAGGGCGCACACUGCUUUCCUCAAGCCCUGCUGAGAGGGGAAAGCAUAAGGCAAGAACAGUCACAGCUUCUGCAGCUUCAGGACUGCUGCAAAUUUUCUGCUCUCUUUCCUGUUCAAAGCUGUGACAUCUGGGGUUUCAAACUAGCACCAACAAGAAUUUCUAAUUUGUCUCUAAUCACAUACAGGAUAUCAGGUGAGCCUCACCGAUUCCACCUGAACUGACCAGGACAUUGUUAACACCCAAAGAACAGAAAUUCUGGUUCUGGAAUAAAGCGAAGUCUCAGAGUGACCUACUGCA